GCGCUGCCCAGUGGCUUCCCCCUUCACACAGACAUCCUCGGGCUGCUGCUCCUCCACCUGGAACUGAAGCGCUGCCUCUUCACCGUGGAGCCCUUGGGGGAUAAAGCCUUCACCAGAACAGCGCCGGCGCCUCCUCCGAAACUUCUAUACCCUGGUCACCUCCACGCACUUCCCACCAGGGCCACCAGAGAAGACAGAAGAUGAGGUCUACCAGGCCCAGCUGCCCAGAGCUUGCUACCUGGUGUUGGGGACUGAGGAACCAGGCACAGGAGUGCGUCUGGUGGCCUUGCAGCUGGGGCUUCGGCGGCUGCUGCUGCUGCUGUCUCCCCAGAGUCCCACCCAUGGGCUGCGAAGCCUGGCCACCCACACUCUGCAUGCCCUCACCCCACUUCUUUGACUACCUAGCAGUGGGUGAUGGACACAGACAUGGGGCUGUUAGCGUCUCUCUGUUUAUUCGCUCACAAUAAUACACAGCCCCUGGAUGGGGAGGGGGUAGGAGGGGCUACAACAGGGUGGGGUGGGAGGGGAGGAGACAUCCACUUCCCUGGCCCCUCUCCCCUCUGUGCUUGGGGGGGAAAGGGAGGGAGGGGGACUCCCCCUAACCCCCCAGAAUGUAAACAGCAGCAGAUGAACAAAAAUAAAAAUACAAAAGGCCGGAGGAAAGUCCCAGGCAUCCC
rnacentral:lncRNA from 1 species